CCUUCGAUAGCUCAGUUGGUAGAGCGGAGGGCUGUAGACCCUUAGGUCGCUGGUUCGACUCUGGCGUGAAGGA
rnacentral:tRNA from 1 species